CAGUCUGGCCAGUGGGCACAGCUUUGGAGCCACCUCACAUGGCAGCCUGUCGCUGACACUCUUCUCAGUACUGUACUCAACUUCACGCCAGCAGAGACACUUAAUCUACAGUUAAAUGACAAUUGAGCGAUAGAUCCUGCUGGAGACUCAAAUACCAUCCCCAGCUCUGCAACUGGGAAAUAAAUGGAUGAUCUCAAAAUUGGCAUGGGUUUUCAGAAAUGAAAUAUCCUCAUCGACAUUUUAGAGGAUCUUUGUAAAACAAACUGUGGGGCAUACUUUGGUCUCUUCAGCAGACUCCCCUUCAGAGAGGCUGUGGGUACAACUACUGGCUGAACAUCUCUGCUGUGCAUGGACAUGUGGACCAACUCCGUCCGUCCUUCUGUGUGCGUGGGUGAAGCCGGAGCUUUGCACCUCUCAACCUCUCACUCAGAAACAGCGAAGUUUAAAAUAUCAAGGUGUUGCUUUUGAUUCCCAUGCAAAUGUCAGAACAAGACCCUCUGAUUCCUCGACUGGCUCCAGGUGAUGCUAAGUGGAAUGCUGGGAAUUAUCAAAAUCAAUCUAUCUUCAAAAGCUGCCUUUGAAAUGACAGGAUCUGAGUCAAAAUGGGAAAUGAAACUCCUCUUAUGCUCAGUCCCCACCCUGCUUCUCAUAGGUCUUGCUCUGCCAGACAGAACCAGCAUUUCUUUUUUUUAUUCUUUGGAAAGGAGGUUGUAAUACAGCGUCUUUUACAUCUGA